rnacentral:rRNA from 1 species
GAUGAACGCUGGCGGCGUGCCUAAUACAUGCAAGUCGAGCGAACGGACGAGAAGCUUGCUUCUCUGAUGUUAGCGGCGGACGGGUGAGUAACACGUGGAUAACCUACCUAUAAGACUGGGAUAACUUCGGGAAACCGGAGCUAAUACCGGAUAAUAUUUUGAACCGCAUGGUUCAAAAGUGAAAGACGGUCUUGCUGUCACUGAUAGAUGGAUCCGCGCUGCAUUAGCUAGUUGGUAAGGUAACGGCUUACCAAGGCAACGAUGCAUAGCCGACCUGAGAGGGUGAUCGGCCACACGGGAACUGAGACACGGUCCAGACUCCUAAGGGAGGCAGCAGUAGGGAAUCGUCCGCAGUGGGCGAAAGCCUGACGGAGCAACGCCGCGUGAGUGAUGAAGGUCUUCGGAUCGUAAAACUCUGUUAUUAGGGAAGAACAUAUAUGUAAGUAACUGUGCACAUCUUGACGGUACCUAAUCAGAAAGCCACGGCUAACUACGUG